AUACAGAGGGUGCAAGCGUUAAUCGGAUUUACUGGGCGUAAAGCGCGCGUAGGCGGCUAAUUAAGUCAAAUGUGAAAUCCCCGAGCUUAACUUGGGAAUUGCAUUCGAUACUGGUUAGCUAGAGUGUGGGAGAGGAUGGUAGAAUUCCAGGUGUAGCGGUGAAAUGCGUAGAGAUCUGGAAGAAUACCGAUGGCGAAGGCAGCCAUCUGGCCUAACACUGACGCUGAGGUGCGAAAGCAUGGGGAGCAAACAGGAUUAGAAACCCCAGUAGUCC
rnacentral:rRNA from 1 species